rnacentral:misc_RNA from 1 species
GUGAAUCAUCAAAUUUUUGAACGCAAAUUGCACUCUCUGUAUUCCGGAGAGUAUGCCUGUUUGAGGGUCAGUUUAAAUAAAAAUCGGUGUGGUUGCUGCCUCUCGUGGUGACGCACCGGAUUGGGGUCGUCUUGCCUUGGGUUAAGUGACCUAAAAUUUUGCAUGAUUUUUUCGAACGUAUUUAAUUGAUUUUAGGUACGUUUGCGAUAUGGAAUACUAGUUUCGGUC